UGCCAGACUCCUACGGGAGGCAGCAGUGGGGGAUAUUGCACAAUGGGGGAAACCCUGAUGCAGCGACGCCGCGUGUGGGAAGACGGUCCUCUGGAUUGUAAACCACUGUCCCCAGGGACGAAGAUGACGGUACCUGGGGAGGAAGCUCCGGCUAAUUCCGUGCCAGCAGCCGCGGUAAUACGGAAGGUCCGGGCGUUAUCCGGAUUUAUUGGGUUUAAAGGGAGCGUAGGCCGGCUUUUAAGGCAGCUGUGAAAGUCCGCGGCUCAACCGUGGAAUUGCUGUUGAAACUGGAGGCCUUGAGUGCACAAAGGGAUGCCGGAAUUCCUGGUGUAGCGGUGAAAUGCUUAGAUAUCAUGAAGAACUCCGAUCGCGAAGGCAAGUGUCCGGGGUGCAACUGACGCUGAGGCUCGAAAGUGUGGGUAUCAAACAGGAUUAGAUACCCCAGUAU
rnacentral:rRNA from 1 species